UACGUAGGUGUCGAGCGUUAUCCGGAAUUACUGGGCGUAAAGGGCACGCAGGCGGCUGUUCAAGUUCGACGUGAAAUCUCCUGGCUUAACCGGGAGAAGCCGUUGGAAGCUGAAUGGCUUGAGGCAAUGAGAGGGAUGCGGAAUUCUCGGUGUAGUGGUGGAACGCGUAGAUAUCGGGAAGAACACCAGUGGCGAAAGCGGCAUCCUGGCAUUGGCCUGACGCUCAUGUGCGAAAGCGUGGGUAGCGAACGGG
rnacentral:rRNA from 1 species